ACUCUGGAUUAGUGGCGAACGGGUGAGUAACACGUGAGUAACCUGCCCCAGACUCUGGGAUAACUCCGGGAAACCGGGGCUAAUACUGGAUAUGACGCCUGCCUGCAUGGGUGGGUGUGUAAAGGGUUUCUGGUUUGGGAUGGGCUCGCGGCCUAUCAGCUUGUUGGUGGGGUGAUGGCCUACCAAGGCUUUGACGGGUAGCCGGCCUGAGAGGGUGACCGGCCACACUGGGACUGAGACACGGCCCAGACUCCUACGGGAGGCAGCAGUGGGGAAUAUUGCACAAUGGGCGCAAGCCUGAUGCAGCGACGCCGCGUGAGGGAUGACGGCCUUCGGGUUGUAAACCUCUUUCAGUAGGGAAGAAGCCUUUCGGGGUGACGGUACCUGCAGAAGAAGCGCCGGCUAACUACGUGCCAGCAGCCGCGGUAAUACGUAGGGCGCAAGCGUUGUCCGGAAUUAUUGGGCGUAAAGAGCUCGUAGGCGGCUUGUCGCGUCUGCUGUGAAAUCCUCAGGCUCAACCUGGGGCGUGCAGUGGGUACGGGCAGGCUAGAGUGCGGUAGGGGAGACUGGAAUUCCUGGUGUAGCGGUGGAAUGCGCAGAUAUCAGGAGGAACACCGAUGGCGAAGGCAGGUCUCUGGGCCGUUACUGACGCUGAGGAGCGAAAGCAUGGGGAGCGAACAGGAUUAGAUACCCUGGUAGUCCAUGCCGUAAACGUUGGGCACUAGGUGUGGGGUCCAUUCCACGGGUUCCGCGCCGUAGCUAACGCAUUAAGUGCCCCGCCUGGGGAGUACGGCCGCAAGGCUAAAA
rnacentral:rRNA from 1 species